rnacentral:tRNA from 1 species
GCCUGGGUGGCUCAGUGGUUGAGUGUCUGCCUUUGACUCAGGGUGUGAUCCUGCAGUCCUGGGAUCGAGUCCCACAUCAGGCU